GGGUGAGUAACACGUGGGUAACCUGCCUGUAAGACUGGGAUAACUCCGGGAAACCGGAGCUAAUACCGGAUAGUUCCUUGUACCGCAUGGUUCAAGGAUGAAAGACGGUUUCGGCUGUCACUUACAGAUGGACCCGCGGCGCAUUAGCUAGUUGGUGAGGUAACGGCUCACCAAGGCGACGAUGCGUAGCCGACCUGAGAGGGUGAUCGGCCACACUGGGACUGAAACACGGCCCAGACUCCUACGGGAGGCAGCAGUAGGGAAUCUUCCGCAAUGGACGAAAGUCUGACGGAGCAAAGCCGCGUGAGUGAUGAAGGUUUUCGGAUCGUAAAGCUCUGUUGUUAGGGAAGAACAAGUGCAAGAGUAACUGCUUGCACCUUGACGGUACCUAACCAGAAAGCCACGGCUAACUACGUGCCAGCAGCCGCGGUAAUACGUAGGUGGCAAGCGUUGUCCGGAAUGAUUGGGCGUAAAGGGCUCGCAGGCGGUUUCUUAAGUCUGAUGUGAAAGCCCCCGGCUCAACCGGGGAGGGUCAUUGGAAACUGGGAAACUUGAGUGCAGAAGAGGAGAGUGGAAUUCCACGUGUAGCGGUGAAAUGCGUAGAGAUGUGGAGGAACACCAGUGGCGAAGGCGACUCUCUUGUCUGUAACUGACGCUGAGGAGCGAAAGCGUGGGGAGCGAACAGGAUUAGAUACCCUGGUAGUCCACGCCGUAACGAUGAGUGCUAAGUGUUAGGGGGUUUCCGCCCCUUAGUGCUGCAGCUAACGCAUUAAGCACUCCGCCUGGGGAGUACGGUCGCAAGACUGAU
rnacentral:rRNA from 1 species